rnacentral:rRNA from 1 species
GAGCGACUGGUGCUUGCACUGGUCAAUCUAGUGGCGAACGGGUGAGUAACACGUGGGUAACCUGCCCAUCAGAGGGGGAUAACAUCCGAAAACGGAUGCUAAAACCGCAUAGGUCUUCGAACCGCAUGGUUUGAAGAGGAAAAGAGGCGCAAGCUUCUGCUGAUGGAUGGACCCGCGGUGCAUUAGCUAGUUGGUGAGGUAACGGCUCACCAAGGCCGUGAUGCAUAGCCGACCUGAGAGGGUGAUCGGCCACAUUGGGACUGAGACACGGCCCAAACUCCUACGGGAGGCAGCAGUAGGGAAUCUUCCGCAAUGGACGCAAGUCUGACGGAGCAACGCCGCGUGAGUGAAGAAGGUUUUCGGAUCGUAAAACUCUGUUGUUAGAGAAGAACAAGUGCUAGAGUAACUGUUAGCGCCUUGACGGUAUCUAACCAGAAAGCCACGGCUAACUACGUGCCAGCAGCCGCGGUAAUACGUAGGUGGCAAGCGUUGUCCGGAUUUAUUGGGCGUAAAGCGAGCGCAGGCGGUUCCUUAAGUCUGAUGUGAAAGCCCCCGGCUCAACCGGGGAGGGUCAUUGGAAACUGGGGAACUUGAGUGCAGAAGAGGAGAGUGGAAUUCCAUGUGUAGCGGUGAAAUGCGUAGAUAUAUGGAGGAACACCAGUGGCGAAGGCGACUCUCUGGUCUGUAACUGACGCUGAGGCUCGAAAGCGUGGGUAGCAAACAGGAUUAGAUACCCUGGUAGUCCACGCCGUAAACGAUGAGUGCUAAGUGUUGGAGGGUUUCCGCCCUUCAGUGCUGC